UCUAUUACACAUCAUCUAUCCCACAUUACAGGUUUAUAAUCCCUCAUAACCAAACAUAUGAGCUACAAAACAGCACAUGUUUGGACCGUUGUUCCCUCAAAGCCACGAUCAUCCAUUAAAUAUAGUAUUUCUCUUAGGCGGUGCGGUUGCUUUCCCGCGGUUAAACCCAUCACCGGAUGUAAACUGACCUCAUUUGUUUCCACCAAAUCAGCUCAUCUUUUUCACAAAGACAAAGGCGGCGAAUAGAGGGAGGCGAAGAUCGAACGCGCAGCAUACUGAAAGCGAAUCGUCUGGAACAAGUAUUUCUAUAAAGGAGACUCAUUGUGCCUUGUAGUCGUGAGUAGAGGCAGCUCCGGGAUUUGAAUUUUAUGGAUUAUGGCGAGCCCAACUCAUAAUUGGCGAAUUCGUAGGUUCAAUUGAUACUGGGUGCAUACCAAUGGGACCCUCCAAUAAGUCUAUUGGAAUUGCCCCCCGUGAUUGCCACCGAAUCUACAACCCAUUUAUGCUACUGGGUUUAUAGUUUAUUGUAUGUAUAUAUUAGUGGAUUGCUCAACACAUAUACAGGGUUUGACCAAAGCUAUUGGUUCUGUUGAACCCGUACCAUAUACGGUAUAUCUGCCUUUGGUUGCGAGUCUUGACAUGUAAUCUUGGUUUUGUCACCAUCUUCGCAUUUUUCAUCAAUUUUAGUGAGUUACUUUAGAUGGCCACUGUACGAAAUUCAAAACCAAUGAAUCAAUACUUUGUGAAACUAGAUUUAUCUAAUGGCACUAUCUUCAAAUGCUAUAAGAAGAAGUAGCAAAACAGGGUGAUACUUUAUUCAAGCCUACUUAUUUAUCAUUUAUUUAUUUGC